GGAGAUCGUGCCCGAUCCGGUCGCCCGCGGCGAGCCCGCAACCUUCAAGAUCUCCGCUUCCACUGAUAAAACUAUCGGUAAAGGGAAGCUGGUUAUUGAUGUGAAAUACUUCUUCUUCUAUGUCCACUCGGAAACUCGUGAGCUCUGUGAUGUGACUUCCUGCCCGGCAAGUGGUGACUUCUUGGUAGCUCAUCAGCAAACCCUGCC
rnacentral:misc_RNA from 1 species